rnacentral:misc_RNA from 1 species
GUGAAUCAUCGAAUUUUUGAACGCAUAUUGCACUCUCUGGGAUUCCGGUGAGUAUGUCUGUUUGAGGGUAUUAAAAAACAAUCUUUAACCAAUUUUUUUGGUCAAAGGAAAUAAGUUCUCCGCGUUUAUAGCGGUAGCUUGAAAUAAAUGUUCAAGUCUCAUUUUAGUCGAGACGCGUAAUAAUAGUAUUUCUCGAAAUCUUCAUUAUGUGACUAUC